GUGUCCCUAUUCGUUUAGGCACCGCCUUCGGUGGUGAGAUGGACCCCGAAGCAGUCCCCGCGUUCCAUGCGUGCUUCGCUCUCUGUGGCGUCGCUGGCAUGGGCCGUGGGUGCCUGCUCGUUCUCUCGGAUGCGGAAAAUUCUGUGGGCAUGGGGUUUUAUUCCCCUGCUCUGCCCCGAUUGCGUUCGUCCCUCGACACGUACGACUGCCGUGCCCGUUCCGACCUUCCAACCCCGGUUGGCAAGGCUCGUGCGGCGCCGGCGUCGCACAGGAAUGCUACCUGGUUGAUCCUGCCAGUAGUCAUAUGC
rnacentral:misc_RNA from 1 species